GGAAGUAAAAGUCGUACAAGGUUUCCGUAGGUGAACCUGCGGAAGGAUCAUUAUUGUAUAACCGAGGUGCGAGGGCUGUCGCUGACCCGAAAGGUCGUGCACGCCCGAGUGCCCUCACACACAUCCAUCUCACCCCUUUGUGCACCACCGCGUGGGUCCCCCUUUGGCUUGUUCGGAGGGGGGCUUACGUUUUCACACAAACUUUGUAUGCAGUGUAGAAUGUAUUUUUUGUUUUUGCGAUCACGCAAUCAAUACAACUUUCAACAACGGAUCUCUUGGCUCUC
rnacentral:misc_RNA from 1 species